UAGCCUGAACCAGCCAAGUAGCGUGAAGGAUGAAGGCUCUAUGGGUCGUAAACUUCUUUUAUAUAAGAAUAAAGUGCAGUAUGUAUACUGUUUUGUAUGUAUUAUAUGAAUAAGGAUCGGCUAACUCCGUGCCAGCAGCCGCGGUAAUACGGAGGAUCCGAGCGUUAUCCGGAUUUAUUGGGUUUAAAGGGAGCGUAGGUGGACUGGUAAGUCAGUUGUGAAAGUUUGCGGCUCAACCGUAAAAUUGCAGUUGAUACUGUCAGUCUUGAGUACAGUAGAGGUGGGCGGAAUUCGUGGUGUAGCGGUGAAAUGCUUAGAUAUCACGAAGAACUCCGAUUGCGAAGGCAGCUCACUGGACUGCAACUGACACUGAUGCUCGAAAGUGUGGGUAUCAAACAGGAUUAGAUACCCUGGUAGUCCACACAGUAAACGAUGAAUACUCGCUGUUUGCGAUAUACAGUAAGCGGCCAAGCGAAAGCAUUAAGUAUUCCACCUGGGGAGUACGCCGGCAACGGUGAAACUCAAAGGAAUUGACGGGGGCCCGCACAAGCGGAGGAACAUGUGGUUUAAUUCGAUGAUACGCGAGGAACCUUACCCGGGCUUAAAUUGCAGUGGAAUGAUGUGGAAACAUGUCAGUGAGCAAUCACCGCUGUGAAGGUGCUGCAUGGUUGUCGUCAGCUCGUGCCGUGAGGUGUCGGCUUAAGUGCCAUAACGAGCGCAACCCUUAUCUUCAGUUACUAACAGGUCAUGCUGAGGACUCUGGAGAGACUGCCGUCGUAAGAUGUGAGGAAGGUGGGGAUGACGUCAAAUCAGCACGGCCCUUACGUCCGGGGCUACACACGUGUUACAAUGGGGGGUACAGAAGGCAGCUAGCGGGUGACCGUAUGCUAAUCCCAAAAUCCUCUCUCAGUUCGGAUCGAAGUCUGCAACCCGACUUCGUGAAGCUGGAUUCGCUAGUAAUCGCGCAUCAGCCACGGCGCGGUGAAUACGUUCCCGGGCCUUGUACACACCGCCCGUCAAGCCAUGGGAGCCGGGGGUACCUGAAGUACGUAACCGCAAGGAUCGUCCUAGGGUAAAACUGGUGACUGGGGCUAAGUCGUAACAAGGUAGCCGUACCGGAAGGUGCGGCUGGAACACCUCCUUUCUGGAGC
rnacentral:rRNA from 1 species